rnacentral:rRNA from 1 species
GAUGAACGCUGGCGGCGUGCCUAAUACAUGCAAGUCGAGCGAAUGGAUUAAGAGCUUGCUCUUAUGAAGUUAGCGGCGGACGGGUGAGUAACACGUGGGUAACCUGCCCAUAAGACUGGGAUAACUCCGGGAAACCGGGGCUAAUACCGGAUAAUAUUUUGAACUGCAUGGUUCAAAAUUGAAAGGCGGCUUCGGCUGUCACUUAUGGAUGAACCCCCGUCGCAUUAGCUAGUUGGUGAGGUAACGGCUCACCAAGGCAACGAUGCGUAGCCGACCUGAGAGGGUGAUCGGCCACACUGGGACUGAGACACGGCCCAGACUCCUACGGGAGGCAGCAGUAGGGAAUCUUCCGCAAUGGACGAAAGUCUGACGGAGCAACGCCGCGUGAGUGAUGAAGGCUUUCGGGUCGUAAAACUCUGUUGUUAGGGAAGAACAAGUGCUAGUUGAAUAAGCUGGCACCUUGACGGUACCUAACCAGAAAGCCACGGCCAACUACGUGCCAGCAGCCGCAGUAA